GCUAUACGUAACAUGACAUAUGAGAUAAUUGAGAAGGGACCCAUAAGAGAUCACAUGGGACGCCCAUUAAUGACAGCAGCAGAUGAUUCAAAUCCAUGGUGGGCAGUUUUCAGGCAAGCUAUUGCAACAGCUGGGGGAAAACUUGCAAAGCCUGAAAUCUUGUCAUCAACCACUGAUGCACGGUUCAUAAGACAGUUGGGAAUUCCAGCUUUUGGUUUUUCUCCAAUGACAAAUACUCCCAUCUUAUUGCAUGACCAUAAUGAGGUUUAACAAGUUUGCGAAUUGAUAUUUGUUUUUCUUUUCAUUACAUUGGGUUGACUGUGGACCAUUUUUCAAAUUUCUUGAUUAUUUCUUGCAGUUCUUGAAGGAUACAGUAUUUUUGAAAGGAAUUGAGGUUUAUGAGCAUAUAAUUAGUUCUUUGAGUUCCUUUGAGGAGGUUCACUCAAUAUAGACACUCUCAGUUUGUGAUUAAUGAGAAGGAGAAUGUAUAAUGCACUGACUUCGACAUGGGGACACAAUACUGGUACGAUACAUCAUCUUACUUGUGUUUAUAUUGCAAACUUUUUAGCCAUAUCUGGCAUUGAUACGCACAUGAUCAUUGUUCAAUUUACUGUCAUGGAAUGGGAAAUAAUGUUUCAUUUUGAAGCAACUUGUAACUGCAACUGUUUAAGCCUGUUGUGAGAUCUGAUAGAUUGACAUUGAGCUUAAAUUAUCCAUUGUAUAACUUUUACUUUCUUAAGUUAGAUUUACAGUAAGUUCUACAGCAAUAACAGUCGUUAUAUAUGAUAGCAGCACCCGUAUUGUGAUGGCUUAUGGAUAAAUGUUGUAAAACAAAACAUGAUGAAUCUCAUCUAAGAAUUGACUGCAUAAACAUGUAUUAGCAUGCGCUUAAAUAUUGUUUGAUUUUGGGGAUAAUACUGAAGUUUCUCAUGUAUCAUUAAUUUAGUACAGCCCCAAACUCAAAUAAAGGAGGAGAGUUGUAAUAUAGGUUGAUGGCCAUAGUAAAACUAGUCAAAUCUCUCCAUAUAGCCGACUCAGCUGGGUUGUGACUGUAGUAAUGAACUUUAGUUUGAGUUGAAUAUCACAAUAUAUCAGUUUUUCUCAUUAUUACUGCUGAGGAAAAUGUGUAAAAGUGAAUUUGUGGUUGUGCAGAUAUCAUAAUGUGAAAUUGAGUUUGGAUUGUACGAUGAUAAUGCAUACAUUUUAAACAAGUUUGACACAUAUAUGUAGAUAUGGAUGGAAAAAUCGUCACCAAAUUUGCAGUUUCAUUUGGCUGUGCAUGCACACACGUACAAUGUAUGCUAGAAGAUAACCAUUAAAAUAAGCCACAUGCACAGGAAAACGACUGGAGUGCUUCAAAUUAUGUCCUGCAAACCUCAAAUGCCUGUUGCUAGUUCUUUGUCUCUUCAAGCUAUGGGCAAAGGUUAGAGAUAGAUCUCAUGCCUCAAGGGUUAGCCAGGAACUGUGGAGAUAUAGUACUUAUGAGUUGUUUCUGUAAUUGGCCUUCUGUUUUGGCCCCUUGAUCUUCACAUAUCAUCUUAUUUUCAACAUCAUUGUUGUACAUGUUUGACAAAAAAAUCCCGAAAAGGGGGAGUUUGGUGGGGGUUGUUGCCUUGUUUUCAAUUUGAGCCAAGUAUAAAAAAUAAAUUAAAAUUAAAAUAUUUUAGUUGUGGAAUUUCUAAAAUAAUUAAAUUAUUUAUAGUCCCAAACAGUGCCUGAUUCGUUUGGUUGCCCAGAAAACGCGAGAGAAUAAAACAGAUAAAAGUGUUUUUAAGUACAACUCUAGACUUUGAGCUACAGAAUAAAUUAAAAACCAACCAAAAUUUUGUAGCAAGAAGCCCUACUCUUUCAGCUAUGCUGUGUGGAUCAGUUGCUUGACCCCUCCUAGCCCUCACCCUUUGUCUGGGCUGUGCCGGCGCACCACCCGUUGACCCGCUUGCCUGAGGUUGGUUCAUCGCCAUCCCCGCCCCUGCCCCUGGAGUACUAAAGUUCUGCGCCUGCAGCGACCCUUCCUGAGGAUGGUGGAAAUGUUGCUGAGACUGAUUAGAUGCCUGCCCAGUCCCAUGCAUAGAUCCAGCGCCAAACCCAUUAUUAUACAGUGCCUGCACUGAUCCAUCUCCCCGAGUAGGACACUUGAAGGACGACCCAUCAACGACGUCGUUCUGAGGCAAGCCUCCUCCUCUGGUGGCCAUCAUGAGCUGCUGCUGCAGCAUGGCCUUGGCAGCAGCCGCCACUGCAGGGGAGGGCCCUCCACUGAUCUGGUGCUGUCUGAGCUUGGCGGCCAAAAUCACGGACUCGUCAAAGUUAUGGAAGCCAACAUUCUCAGGAAUAGAAGGCGGCGUUUCAUCUUCUCUGGGUUUGGCAGAGGAAUUAUUAAUGGGGAUGUUGAGGCUUGUGGGGGGAUUAAGGUCCCAGGGAGACUUGAGGUCGGCCCAGGAACUGGAAGGGAGAGAAGAAAGCAUUUGGUCAAGGAAAUCAUCGUUUGAGGAGGAAGAGGGAUCGAAAGGAGAGUUCUGGAUCUGUUGGUGUUGUUGAUUUUGAAGGUCUUGAAGAGGGAUUUGAGAAGAUGGGUUUAGGACAUAAUUUAUUCCUUGCAUUUCUCUGCUACAAGGAUGCAUCUCUUCACCAAAAAUCAGUCUGUGCAAGAGAGAGAUAAAGGAUAAGGAUUUUGGGUUUUUGCUUGUGAGUCAGGGGAUUCUCUUCUAUGGGAGUAAGAGAAGUAAAGGCAUUUGGGUUUUUCCUUUGCGUUUCGAAUGCGUAUCAGAAGAUGAAGAAGUCGGAGAGGGAUUUUGUACUAUGUGAGAGUUGAAG
rnacentral:misc_RNA from 1 species